UACGUAGGGGGCAAGCGUUGUCCGGAUUUAUUGGGCGUAAAGAGCGUGUAGGCGGCCAGGUAGGUCUGCUGUGAAACUCGAGGCUUAACCUCGAGCUGUCGGCGGAAACCAUCUGGCUAGAGUCCGGAAGAGGAGAAUGGAAUUCCCGGUGUAGCGGUGAAAUGCGCAGAUAUCGGGAAGAACACCCGUGGCGAAGGCGGCGUCCUGGACCAACACUGACACUGAUGAGCGAAAGCCAGGGAGCAAACGGG
rnacentral:rRNA from 1 species